UUGUGGAGGAGGACGCCGAAGGUGGGGCUAAUGACUGGGGUGAAGUCGUAACAAGGUAGCCGUACCGGAAGGUGCGGCUGGAUCACCUCCUAACAGGGAGACAACAAAAUGUUUAAUAUUAUUAUUUUGUCACCUUAGGUCGAUCGGUAUCUCACGUUCUUAAUUUAUUAAGAAUUUCAUUUCCUAAGUUUUUCUAGGUCACACCCAUUAUUUUUCCUGGGCCAUUAGCUCAGGUGGUUAGAGCGCACCCCUGAUAAGGGUGAGGUCCCUGGUUCAAGUCCAGGAUGGCCCAUAUCUCUAUGUUGGGGGUAUAGCUCAGUUGGUAGAGCGCCUGCUUUGCAAGCAGGAUGUCAGCGGUUCGAGUCCGCUUACCUCCACUGAUUACCACCUCUUCCAUAAUCUGUAGAAAGGAAAUGUUUUGAGUUGUGAUCAAAUUCUGAACGAAUCUAGCUUCCUAAUGAAACCAUUAAGAUGCUGGACUCAUUGAAUAAAUUUCAUUGUUUUCAGAGAACCUUGACAACUGCAUAGAUUAUUAUUAAAGACAAUAAGCAUCUUUUAAUGAUGCAGAUUUAUUAUUUGUGCGAAUGCAUUAAUAACAAUUCUAUUAAGCUGAUGCUUCAAUUUUGAAGUUAUUGGUCAAGCUACAA
rnacentral:misc_RNA from 1 species